AGUGGGGAAUAUUGCACAAUGGAGGNAACUCUGAUGCAGCAACGCCGCGUGGAGGAUGACACAUUUCGGUGCGUAAACUCCUUUUAUAUAAGAAGAUAAUGACGGUAUUAUAUGAAUAAGCUCCGGCUAACUCCGUGCCAGCAGCCGCGGUAAUACGGGGGGAGCAAGCGUUACUCGGAAUCACUGGGCGUAAAGAGCAUGUAGGCUGAUAGAUAAGUUGGAAGUGAAAUCCUGUGGCUUAACCAUAGAACUGCUUCCAAAACUGUCUAUCUAGAGUAUGGGAGAGGUAGAUGGAAUUUCUGGUGUAGGGGUAAAAUCCGUAGAGAUCAGAAGGAAUACCGAUUGCGAAGGCGAUCUACUGGAACAUUACUGACGCUCAGAUGCGAAAGCGUGGGGAGCAAACAGGAUUAGAUACCCUGGUAGUCCACGCCCUAAACGAUGCACACUAGUUGUUGCUAUAC
rnacentral:rRNA from 1 species